GAUCCUGCUCAGGAUGAACGCUAGCUACAGGCUUAACACAUGCAAGUCGAGGGGCAUCAGGAAGAAAGCUUGCUUUCUUUGCUGGCGACCGGCGCACGGGUGAGUAACACGUAUCCAACCUGCCCUUUACUCGGGGAUAGCCUUUCGAAAGAAAGAUUAAUACCCGAUGGCAUAAUGAUUCCGCAUGGUUUCAUUAUUAAAGGAUUCCGGUAAAGGAUGGGGAUGCGUUCCAUUAGGUUGUUGGUGAGGUAACGG
rnacentral:rRNA from 1 species